rnacentral:rRNA from 1 species
AGCGAACGCUGGCGGCAGGCCUAACACAUGCAAGUCGAGCGCGUGUAGCAAUACACGAGCGGCAGACGGGAGAGUAACACGUGGGAACGUACCCUUCGGUUCGGAAUAACCCAGGGAAACUUGGACUAAUACCGGAUACGUCCGAAAGGAGAAAGAUUUAUCGCCGAAGGAUCGGCCCGCGGCUGAUUAGCUAGUUGGUGAGGUAACGGCUCACCAAGGCGACGAUCGGUAGCUGGUCUGAGAGGAUGAUCAGCCUCACUGGGACUGAGACACGGCCCAGACUCCUACGGGAGGCAGCAGGGGGGAAUAUUGGACAAUGGGCGCAAGCCUGAUCCAGCCAUGCCGCGUGGGUGAUGAAGGCCCUAGGGUUGUAAAGCCCUUUCGGCGGGGAAGAUAAUGACGGUACCCGCAGAAGAAGCCCCGGCUAACUUCGUGCCAGCAGCCGCCGUAAAAC